GGUGCUCAGCGACGACGGGUAGCCGGCCUGAGAGGGCGACCGGCCACACUGGGACUGAGACACGGCCCAGACUCCUACGGGAGGCAGCAGUGGGGAAUAUUGCACAAUGGGCGGAAGCCUGAUGCAGCGACGCCGCGUGAGGGAUGACGGCCUUCGGGUUGUAAACCUCUUUCAGCAGGGACGAAGCGUAAGUGACGGUACCUGCAGAAGAAGCGCCGGCCAACUACGUGCCAGCAGCCGCGGUAAGACGUAGGGCGCGAGCGUUGUCCGGAUUUAUUGGGCGUAAAGAGCUCGUAGGCGGCUUGUCGCGUCGACCGUGAAAACUUGGGGCUCAACCCCAAGCCUGCGGUCGAUACGGGCAGGCUAGAGUUCGGUAGGGGAGACUGGAAUUCCUGGUGUAGCGGUGAAAUGCGCAGAUAUCAGGAGGAACACCGGUGGCGAAGGCGGGUCUCUGGGCCGAUACUGACGCUGAGGAGCGAAAGCGUGGGGAGCGAACAGGAUUAGAUACCCUGGUAGUCCACGCUGUAAACGUUGGGCGCUAGGUGUGGGGGGCCUCUCCGGUUCCCUGUGCCGCAGCUAACGCAUUAAGCGCCCCGCCUGGGGAGUACGGC
rnacentral:rRNA from 1 species